rnacentral:rRNA from 1 species
UAAGUUAUUAAGGGCGCACGGUGGAUGCCUUGGCACUAGAAGCCGAUGAAGGACGUUACUAACGACGAUAUGCUUUGGGGAGCUGUAAGUAAGCUUUGAUCCAGAGAUUUCCGAAUGGGGAAACCCAGCAUGAGUUAUGUCAUGUUAUCGAUAUGUGAAUACAUAGCAUAUCAGAAGGCACACCCGGAGAACUGAAACAUCUUAGUACCCGGAGGAAGAGAAAGAAAAUUCGAUUCCCUUAGUAGCGGCGAGCGAAACGGGAAGAGCCCAAACCAACAAGCUUGCUUGUUGGGGUUGUAGGACACUCUAUACGGAGUUACAAAGGACGACAUUAGACGAAUCAUCUGGAAAGAUGAAUCAAAGAAGGUAAUAAUCCUGUAGUCGAAAAUGUUGUCUCUCUUGAGUGGAUCCUGAGUACGACGGAGCACGUGAAAUUCCGUCGGAAUCUGGGAGGACCAUCUCCUAAGGCUAAAUACUCUCUAGUGACCGAUAGUGAACCAGUACCGUGAGGGAAAGGUGAAAAGCACCCCGGAAGGGGAGUGAAAUAGAACCUGAAACCGUGUGCUUACAAGUAGUCAGAGCCCGUUAAUGGGUGAUGGCGUGCCUUUUGUAGAAUGAACCGGCGAGUUACGAUUUGAUGCAAGGUUAAGCAGUAAAUGUGGAGCCGUAGCGAAAGCGAGUCUGAAUAGGGCGUUUAGUAUUUGGUCGUAGACCCGAAACCAGGUGAUCUACCCUUGGUCAGGUUGAAGUUCAGGUAACACUGAAUGGAGGACCGAACCGACUUACGUUGAAAAGUGAGCGGAUGAACUGAGGGUAGCGGAGAAAUUCCAAUCGAACCUGGAGAUAGCUGGUUCUCUCCGAAAUAGCUUUAGGGCUAGCCUCAAGUGAUGAUUAUUGGAGGUAGAGCACUGUUUGGACGAGGGGCCCUCUCGGGUUACCGAAUUCAGACAAGCUCCGAAUGCCAAUUAAUUUAACUUGGGAGUCAGAACAUGGGUGAUAAGGUCCGUGUUCGAAAGGGAAACAGCCCAGACCACCAGCUAAGGUCCCAAAAUAUAUGUUAAGUGGAAAAGGAUGUGGCGUUGCCCAGACAACUAGGAUGUUGGCUUAGAAGCAGCCAUCAUUUAAAGAGUGCGUAAUAGCUCACUAGUCGAGAGACACUGCGCCGAAAAUGUACCGGGGCUAAACAUAUUACCGAAGCUGUGGAUUGUCCUUUGGACAAUGGUAGGAGAGCGUUCUAAGGGCGUUGAAGCAUGAUCGUAAGGACAUGUGGAGCGCUUAGAAGUGAGAAUGCCGGUGUGAGUAGCGAAAGACGGGUGAGAAUCCCGUCCACCGAUUGACUAAGGUUUCCAGAGGAAGGCUCGUCCGCUCUGGGUUAGUCGGGUCCUAAGCUGAGGCCGACAGGCGUAGGCGAUGGAUAACAGGUUGAUAUUCCUGUACCACCUAUAAUCGUUUUAAUCGAUGGGGGGACGCAGUAGGAUAGGCGAAGCGUGCGAUUGGAUUGCACGUCUAAGCAGUAAGGCUGAGUAUUAGGCAAAUCCGGUACUCAUUAAGGCUGAGCUGUGAUGGGGAGAAGACAUUGUGUCUUCGAGUCGUUGAUUUCACACUGCCGAGAAAAGCCUCUAGAUAGAAAAUAGGUGCCCGUACCGCAAACCGACACAGGUAGUCAAGAUGAGAAUUCUAAGGUGAGCGAGCGAACUCUCGUUAAGGAACUCGGCAAAAUGACCCCGUAACUUCGGGAGAAGGGGUGCUCUUUAGGGUUAACGCCCAGAAGAGCCGCAGUGAAUAGGCCCAAGCGACUGUUUAUCAAAAACACAGGUCUCUGCUAAACCGUAAGGUGAUGUAUAGGGGCUGACGCCUGCCCGGUGCUGGAAGGUUAAGAGGAGUGGUUAGCUUCUGCGAAGCUACGAAUCGAAGCCCCAGUAAACGGCGGCCGUAACUAUAACGGUCCUAAGGUAGCGAAAUUCCUUGUCGGGUAAGUUCCGACCCGCACGAAAGGCGUAACGAUUUGGGCACUGUCUCAACGAGAGACUCGGUGAAAUCAUAGUACCUGUGAAGAUGCAGGUUACCCGCGACAGGACGGAAAGACCCCGUGGAGCUUUACUGUAGCCUGAUAUUGAAAUUCGGCACAGCUUGUACAGGAUAGGUAGGAGCCUUUGAAACGUGAGCGCUAGCUUACGUGGAGGCGCUGGUGGGAUACUACCCUAGCUGUGUUGGCUUUCUAACCCGCACCACUUAUCGUGGUGGGAGACAGUGUCAGGCGGGCAGUUUGACUGGGGCGGUCGCCUCCUAAAAGGUAACGGAGGCGCUCAAAGGUUCCCUCAGAAUGGUUGGAAAUCAUUCAUAGAGUGUAAAGGCAUAAGGGAGCUUGACUGCGAGACCUACAAGUCGAGCAGGGUCGAAAGACGGACUUAGUGAUCCGGUGGUUCCGCAUGGAAGGGCCAUCGCUCAACGGAUAAAAGCUACCCCGGGGAUAACAGGCUUAUCUCCCCCAAGAGUUCACAUCGACGGGGAGGUUUGGCACCUCGAUGUCGGCUCAUCGCAUCCUGGGGCUGUAGUCGGUCCCAAGGGUUGGGCUGUUCGCCCAUUAAAGCGGUACGCGAGCUGGGUUCAGAACGUCGUGAGACAGUUCGGUCCCUAUCCGUCGUGGGCGUAGGAAAUUUGAGAGGAGCUGUCCUUAGUACGAGAGGACCGGGAUGGACAUACCUCUGGUGUACCAGUUGUCGUGCCAACGGCAUAGCUGGGUAGCUAUGUGUGGACGGGAUAAGUGCUGAAAGCAUCUAAGCAUGAAGCCCCCCUCAAGAUGAGAUUUCCCAACUUCGGUUAUAAGAUCCCUCAAAGAUGAUGAGGUUAAUAGGUUCGAGGUGGAAGCAUGGUGACAUGUGGAGCUGACGAAUACUAAUCGAUCGAAGACUUAAUCA